rnacentral:misc_RNA from 1 species
CAUUCCUCUUUGAUGCCGGCACCGCAUGAGCAAAAGGACGAAUACCGUCCUCCAGUCAAAACGGGGCACGUCAUGCUUCCGUAAGGGACAAUUGAUUCGGGCAAAAAGGGACAAGGACCCCGACCGAUCAUUGCUUCUACAUACAAGACUUCGAGCGAAACUUGGGCGUACAAUUCCUGCUAGCCAAAUAAGCAAAGCAAGGGCGAACGUCCAAGGGUGCUUCAGGGUCUAUGUCGCACAAAACUUUUUGGCACGAGAUAGAGUAGGGACUGUGGGACUAGAGAAUUCCAUAAAAAUAGGUAUGCUGCACAGGGGGCCAAGCCAAUCCAAGGCAAAAGAUUUUGCACUCGAACAUAAUUGAACAGGUGUGAACCAGUGGUUGUCGCUGCCGAAGCGGAGAACCAACCAACCGGAACAAACCAAUCACUACUCAUGCGCUACACGUACAACAUGCCACCAUCACAGCUAGGUACAAGCCCCCCAAAGACACCAAAGUCUAGAGAGGACUUGCCCAUAACAAAUGAAGGCAACAAGAACCGCUUCACGCGAAUCCAAACACGUGGAGGACAAAGUCCACCAUGAUCUCCAGGGACAUAUUUCAUCGGGACAUUUAUCAGAGGGACGUGUUUCACAAUCUUCAGGGUCAAACCGAGGGACAUUUAUCAUAGGGACACGUUUCACAACCGGGACGAAGUGCACCAAUUCACUCAAGAAGCUCUUUGGCUAGUCCGAGAUCGAAAAAUGAUUACAACCGAACAGCCCCCGCCCAACCGGCACAUCAGUUCAUAACCAACAAAGAACUAGCAA